UCCGAACGCCGACCUCAGAGCAGGUG
rnacentral:rRNA from 1 species